CUCGGCCUUUAGGCUAAAAUCAAGUGUGAAGAAAUAAUUCGGAGCCAAGAACCAAACUCAGAAGCCUGGGAUGAGUAUCAUCUUUCUGCAUCCUAAGCCACAAAGUCUCAGGAUCAGCAACACCUCAUCGCCUCGGAACUGGACAGAAAUGCAAGCCCACUGAACCAGGAUCUGCGGUCUAUCCGUAUCCCUAGACAAUUCCUUUGCCAUUCAAAAUUCAAGAAGCUCUUUCAGUAUAUACUGUCCACUAGGUAAGAAGAGAAAGAGAUGACGCAAAGGGAGGAGAGGGAAAAUGAGAGGUCUAUUGAGAUACCACGGGUAACACAAAACCUGGAUUACCCCAAAUAUUUAGAUAUACCUUCACCGAAGUAUAGUCUAAUGAAAAGUAAAAUAUAUCCACAAAUGACUGGAGAAAAAUACACAAUGCUAAAGACCUUGUUUCAGAGCCCAGGAAGCCAUGAAGUUUUUCAGAGAAGAGGUGAUAAUUGGAGCUGUUUUUGUCAAUACCAGGUGAAGGAAGCUCUGACGGCCUCUGCAACACUCACCACACGUGCCCCAACCCCAGCCAAAUCCAAGACUCCAAGUCCAACCUAUGUGGACAACUACCACAUAGUACAACUACCAUCAAUUAUGAGAAAUAUUGAUGCAUAAACUAUAUUAAAUUAUGUCAUAUUGGUCGAUAGCACUCAGAUCUACACAGAUCCAGAGUCGUUUCACGUAGCAGCCCUAAAUCAACUUUUCUAGUAUCUUAAUAUUUGGGCUAUGUGCAUCCCCUUGACCUGUCUGCUAAAGAAACCAUCUCUGGAUUGAACUUUCAUUCUAUUUAAUAUUUCUUUAAGACAGCCAUAAUCUUUAAGGGAUCAUUCUCAUUCAUUUUUUCCACAAUAUUUUCAUAGCAAAAGAAACCCCAUUAUGUUCAUUAGACUUUUCUUAAAUAUUUAUCAAUUAAAACACUAUUCGAUAGUAGAGAAAUAUAAACUAGGUGUUGUAAAUGAUAAAUAUUUAUUUCUCACAGCUCUAGAGGUUGAGAAGUCCAACAACAAAGCAUUAGGCAGAUUCAGUGUCUGAUGAAAGCUAACUUUCUGGUUUCAAAGAUGACUUAUAUCCUAGUAGAAGAG
rnacentral:lncRNA from 1 species